rnacentral:rRNA from 1 species
UACGGGGGGAGCAAGCGUUGUUCGGAUUUACUGGGCGUAAAGGGCGCGUAGGCGGCCAGCACAAGUCAGUUGUGAAAUCUCCGGGCUUAACUCGGAAAGGUCAACUGAUACUGUGCGGCUAGAGUGCAGAAGGGGCAACUGGAAUUCUCGGUGUAGCGGUGAAAUGCGCAGAUAUCGGGAAGAACACCCGUGGCGAAGGCGGUUCUCUGGGACGGUACUGACGCUGAGACGCGAAAGCGUGGGGAGCGAACAGG